rnacentral:rRNA from 1 species
AUGGGACUUCCACAACUAGCUCAAAACCCCUCUAGCUCGACCAGGGACCCAAAUGAUCGGAGCAUAUGGGACCUAAUCUGGAAAUCCAAGGUGUCAGGGAAAAUACGAAUCUUUGAAUGGAGGGUAGCUACAAACACCCUAGCAACAAAAGAGAACAAAUGGAAGAGAACCCUUGAGUUGGAUGCUACCUGCAACAUUUGUGGACAUGGAAUAGAAAAUGAACAUCAUGCAGUGAUUAUGUGUACCAAGAGCAGAGCAUUAAGAGCUGCUAUGAGAGAGGAUUGGAGCUUACCUGCUGAAAACAAGUUCUGGUUCACAGGUGAAAACUGGCUGCAAGUAAUGUUGGACACAAAAAGUGAGGGAACGCGCGCCAGGAUCCUGAUGUUACUCUGGCGAUGCUGGCAUCUCAGGGAGGACUGCGUGCGAAAUAAUGGCAGAGAGACAAUUAGUAGUUCAGUGCAAUUUCUGAAAAAUUAUGAGGAAGAAUUAAGAAUGGCAGCGGCAUCAGCUGAGUGGACGAGUGGAAAGACUGCAGAAAACUUCAGCCAGAACGGAAAUCCGAAUACUGCACAUCUUGUCCAUGCAUCUGAACGUUCUGAAGAAAAGUGGAUCCCGCUAGUACGAUGUACAGUUAAGAUCAACACGGACGCAGCCUAUCUAGCAGAGACAGGAGAAAGCACGGCUGGCGCAGUCGGUCGAGACUACCAAGGCUCGGCCCUCAAUCAGUCUGCAAGAAAUUGCCACUGUGCCGAAGCGUUGAGGAGGUCGAAGCUCGAGCCAUUCUGA